CAAUAUGUUAUAAGGGUUUAUCGGAAUAUCGCGUACCCACCUUUGGCCCGACCAUCCUGCCCACGGAUUAGUCCCAGUUGCUACACCAGCCCAAGUCUAGCGAUUCAAAUGCGGGUAGACAUCGGCGUGAGCAUAAUCCCCGGAAUCAAAA